rnacentral:lncRNA from 1 species
CGUGAGAUCCAGCCCACACUCCAAGGGGAGAGAAUUAAGCUCCAACACCUGCAGGGAACAUCACGAAGCAUUUGCCUUCCUCCCUCAAAACCAUCCCUGCGACUGGGACAGGGGACAGCUCUCUGGUUGCCGCCCGCGGUGUUGGGCAGUGGCUCUUGGCUGCAGAAAGCAGGGCUGUGCUGGGCAAAGGACGCUUUUCUAUUUCCCUCCUUUCCCCUUCGUUUAUUGUUGGGAAUUCUUCUGGAGGGAGAUUUGUCCCCUCGACCCCGUUUUAUUCGUAUCGGUGUGGACGCAUGGGUGUUAAUUGAGUGUAACCCAGUACUAUCAUAAUUAACUUUUUCAUUCAGAUUGUUCCCGUUUGGGCCAUACGGGUGCUUUCAGGAUGGCUCUGUGUUCUUCCGUGUGUGUCUUUCCUCUUUUUUCUUCCUCAAGCACUUCCUUCCUUUCUAGCACUUUGAGAUACUUCAGGCUCUUUCCCUGCCCCUACCCUAGAAUCAGCCCCUUCUCCAGGGUGUCCUGGUUCCUUCGAUGGACAAGGUAACAGGAACCACGCUCAGGACCCUGCGUGUGGCUAUGGCUGCUGAGAUGGCCCUAGUUCUAGUCCUUUUCUGACGGAUCUCGGGAAAACGUACGCGUCCAAACCCCUGUAUACACACGUUAUCUGUAUUUCUUUGUGUGUAUGUAGGCAUGGAUCUGUGUGUGUGUGAAAAUAAACCUGACUUCAUGCUGGUAUUUCUGACUCCAAUCCAUCUCCAGAGGGUUCAUUCAUUCCCACCUUCCCAGCCCUGUUUUGUCAGUAUCGUCUUUCUCUGGCACCGAGAAAUCGGGCUCAGGGGGCUCUUUUUUUGGUGUUCAUCUUAUGGGCCAUCUUAGCAAAAGUCGGCCGUGGUGGCCACGCUCGCCUCCUGUAAGGACUCUCUCCAUGGUUUCCGGACAGUGCUGUCCCCUGAUUUUUCCCCUUGUGUCUUGCUUCUUUGCAAGACAUUCCUGUUUCCACAGGUGCCCUGAAUCUGGGGGGGGCUCUUCGCUCCUCCUGCCCCCGGGACCAUCUUGCUCUCUUUUCUGGAUCGUUUUUCCUGUCUCUGGGCAGGUGAUGAUCACGCUCCCCCCAUCUCACCCUUUAUUUACCCCGCCUCCACCUGACAGCGCAGGGUUUCUGUGAAGCACCGAUCUGAUCACGUCUUCCUUUCGCUGUCCCUCCGGUGUCCUGAGGAUAAAGUCCUAACUCCUUAGGCUGAUCCUGAAGACUUGGUGCGAUCGGUCCCUGACCAUCGAUCACUCUGCCAGGCUCCCUGCCAGCCUGAGCCACAGCCACCCUCAGCUGCUUCUCUCUCCUUAAACACAGCCCAUGCUCAAACCUGGGCCGCGGCCGGGACCCUUGCCCAGCCCCAGCCAGUCCUGCCCGGUCCGCAUGCCACCCUCCUCCUUCCUACUGACAUCUUUUCAAAACACUCCCAGGCGGCGGCGGCGGUGGCGGUGGCGGUGGCGGUGGCGGUAUCUGCAAGGAUGAGGGAUAAAAGGGACCCCGAGGUCAUUUCUGAGGUCGGAGGGAGGGAGAUUUACUGGAACCCUUUUGUUCAUUGAACACGAACACAGCACCAACAGCUGUCGCGGGAGAAAGUUUACAGCAACAGCAACAAAAAAUCACAUUGUGUUUAAGAGGAGAAACCUUUCAGGAAUCAUUUCGUGUAACCUAAAAAAAUUCUGUAGUGGCAGCAAGAGAGGAGCGGUAUCCUUCUCUGUACACUGUAACUGUCCCCCCAGACUGGACUUGGGAGGAGUGCCUGGGAGAUCCCAUGAGCUUAGAACUCUCUACCGUGAGCUUUCACGGGUUGGCAUUAUAAACACGACCUAAUGUAAUUUAGGCGGUGUCUCACACGCCUUUGGAACGGCCGACUUACGUAGAAGGAUUUUGGGCGUGUGAAGCAGGGCUCCUGAGGUCCCGCGGUGUUGGGAGCCCUGGACUGGCUGUUGGGACAGGGAAGCCUGUGUAAACCCUGCAUGCAUCCGCUUGGAGACUCUGCAGCUUUCGGUCUGGCUGGCACGUGCGCUCACUGCCGGGGCGCUGCUUCCUGCCAGGCCCCGUCUGAGCCCUUCCAGCGCUUGCGGUCAUCCAGUGAGGACCCCGCGCCGCUGUUUGCCCAGGUUUUCAGCGAGACAUU